GGAACGAGAGGGGAGAAGCGAGAGGAGGGCGAAGGGUUCGCAGCGAGAGAGAAAGGGCUCCUGCUUCUCUCUUGCGAAGCUCUUUCGCCAUGGCCGAUGAUCCAUUCAAGAUCCCUUCUCUUCUCCCGAUCUCCGGUUUCUCUCUUUGGAAGCGCAUUCUCCAUGACCGAUGAACCCUUCAAGCGCUUUCGCCAUGGCCGAUGAUCCCUUCUAAUGUCCCUUUCUUCGCUCCUCCGAUCUCCUGUUUCUCUCUUUUGAACCCCUUUUGCCAUGGCCGAUGAUCCCUUCAAGAUCCCUUGCUUUUCUUCUUCCGAUUUCGGGGUUGAUCGCCUCGGAGGGUGGAAGAGGUGGGGAAUGCGAAGGAUUUGCAGCGGGGGAGAGAAAGGGCUCCUGCUUCUCUGUGUCGAAGCGCUUUCACCAUGGCCGAUGAUUCCCUCAAGAACCCUCGCUUAUCUUCUUCAUCUUAGCGGCGGAUAGGGUUCUUGAUCGCGUCCUUCUUACCGCGACUGGUGAUACUCAGGUAAGCACUACCCCUAGACCCCUCACUUCGCUUCCUCCGAUCUGAGCAGCGGGUAAUGUUCUUGAUUGUCUCCUAAGAAUCGCAUGGAGCAACAUGAGGUAAAUGUGAUCUCUCCCUCCAAGAUCAUUCGUUUCUCUUCUUCCAAAAUCAGUGUCGUGUCAGGUUUGCGUUAUCUGUUUUUUCUUCCGAAAUCACUGUUUCGUCAUGGUUUCUGAAUCGCUGAUCCAUCAAGCAUUCAACUAGUUCUAGAUCACCUCUUGUGAAUAUUGAUAAGCGAAAUGCAAGUGAGCGAUCUUUCAUUUAAUUGUGUUAUCGACCUACAUGGAGAAAUUCAUUGGUAGGGUUAGGGUUCCGUUGGUUUGUUUUAUGGAUUUCUCCAUCCCACUAUUUAAUAUUUCGAUAAUGAGGGUAGAAGCCUAAUGCUACCAUCUGGGGAGAAAAAAAAAGAAGAAAUAAUGGAAGUUUUAAGUUGCCGCCAUGUUAACAUCUUCCUUUGGGAGAUUACAUGGGCAAAUGCGGGCCUAUAUUGGUAUUGCAAAGUGGGUAGUGUCAUUUGGAAUUGCACAAUGUCAUUGCUUAACGUGAGCUUCUCCACUGGUGUUGGCUGGUUAUCUAGUAGUGGUCUGACUCAGAAGGCAGUAACCUGCAACUGAGCCAAAACUAACAUAAUUGCUCGAAUGAACAGCCCAUUGUUAAAUCUUUGUAGGGAUAUCAUUUCUCAAUCUUUAUAAUUUUUUUUAUCAUUAUUUAUUUACUGAGGAUGGGAACAGGGAAGUUGCUGUCUGGAUAAAACUAUGGAAGCUUUAAGUUGCAUGUACCUCGUCUCUGUUAAAUUCAGAGAUGCCUUGGUGCCGCUACUCCUCUUGGAUCUGCAUCCGGAUGUAAACUCGACAAUUUUUAAAAAUUCUUUCUACCCCCUUGCCAAUAGUCUUGGAGAACUUGAGUCUUCUUCACGGAUUGCAAGGUGGCUAAAGCCAUUUGGGAUUGCGGUUCCUUUGAUGCCAGCUGUUUCUCUGGUGGUUGGCUUUCGGAAGGCAGUAACCUCCAACCGAGCCAAACUAACCAACUACUUGCCCUAAAUUUUCUCAGGGAAAUAAAUGAGUCCAGAAACCCUGAUUAAUAGCACCUGGUAAAAUAGAUGAAAGCUUAAAGUUGCACUCUGCAUUAAAUUCUCCCUUUGAAAGAUGUUUGGGCAUACUCCGUCCUUUCAGUGUCUUGGCUUGCCCAUGUGAACUUCAUAUCAUUUCGGAUUCUUGCCGCCCCCUCUGCAAUCUUAUGGAAGGUUUUGAGUAGGGCCCUUUCAAUUUGCAUUAUAUUAUCAUUCUCUGUUCCUUUGGUGCCAGCUGGUUAUCUCGUGGUUGCCUCUUGGAAGGCAGUGACCUGCGACCGAGUCAGAUUAACCUAUUACUUGCUCUAAAUUUUCUCGGGGAAACCAGAACUUACUCUGCCCUGCAAUGCGUUCCCCAUGUAAGCUUCAUACCAUUUCGGAUUCUUGCUGCCUGUGUUUUGCAAAUAUUCCUGGAGAUUCGAGUAUCUCUAUAUAAAAUUGCUAGGUGGCUAGAGCCGUUUCAGUUUGCUUUGUCUCACCACUCUAUCUGUGCUUCUCCUCUGGUGCCAGCUGGUUAUCCUGUGGUUAGCUCUUGGAAGGCAAGCUGCAACCGAGCCAAAUUAAGCUAUUACUUCAAACUUUCUCAGGGAAACCAAUGAGGCUGGAGGCAAAUUAUACCACCUGAAAAAACAGAUAAAAGUUUAAGUUGCCCUAUGUGUUAAAUUCAAAGAUGGCUUGGUGCGGCGACUCCCCUUGGAUAUGCAUGCCGACGUAAACUUGACAAUUUUUUAAAAUUCAUUCUGCCCCCUGCCAAUAGUAUUGAAGAACUUGAGUCUUUCUUCAUGGAUUGCAAGGUGGCUAAAGCCAUUUGGGAUUGCGCUUCCUCUGCUGCCAACUGUUUCUCUGAUGGUUGACUCUCGGAAGGCAGUAACCUGCAACCAAGCCAAACUAACCAAUUACUUGCCCUAAAUUUUCUCAGGGAAAUAAAUGAGUCCAGAAAUCCCUGAUUGUAGCACCUGGUAAAAUAGAUGAAAGCUUAAAGUUGCACUCUGCGUUAAAUUCUCCCUUUGAAAGAUGAUUUGGGCAUACUAUGUCCCAUGGGAACUUCAUAUCAUUUCGGAUUCUUGCUGCCCCCUCUGCAAUCUUCUGGAAGGUUUUGAGUAGGGCCCUUUCAGUUUGCAUUAUAUUAUCAUUCUCUGUUCCUCUGGUUCCAGCUGGUUAUCUUGUGGUUGGCUCUUGGAAGGCAGUGACCUGCAACUGAGUCAGAUUAACCUAUUACUUGCUCUAAAUUUUCUCGGGGAAACCAGAACAUACUCUGCCCUGCAAUGCGUUCCCCAUGUAAGCUUUAUUCUAUUUCGGAUUCUUGCUGCCCGUGUUUUGCAAAUAUUCCUGGAGAUUUUGAGUAUCUCUAUGUAAAAUUGUUAGGUGGCUAAAGCCAUUUCUGUUUGCAUUGUCUCACCACUCUAUGUGUGCUUCUCCUCUGGUGCCAGCUGGUUAUCUUGUGGUUGGUUCUUGGAAGGCAGUGACCUGCAACUGAGUUAGAUUAACCUAUUACUCGCUCUAAUUUUUCUCGGGAAAAUCAGAGCAUACUCUGCACUGCAAUGCGUUUCCCAUGUAAGCUUCAUACUACAUCGGAUUCGUGCUGCCUGUAUUUUGCAAAUAUUCCUGGAAAUUUCAGUAUCUCUAUAUAAAAUUGCUAGGCGGCUAGAGCCAUUUCGAUUUGCAUUGUUUCAUCACUCUACGUGUGCUUCUCCUCUGGUGCCAGCUGUUUAUCCUGUGGUUGGCCCUUGGAAGGCAAUCUGCAACCGAGCCAAAUUAAACUAUUACUUCAAACUAGGAAACCAAUGAGGCUGGAAGCAUAUUAUACCACCAGAAAAAACAGAUAAAAGUUUAAGUUGCCUCUGUGUUUAAUUUUCCCUUUUAAAGAUGGCUUGGGUGUACUCUGCUCUUCAGUACCUUGCCCAUGUAUUAUUGCAAUAUCUUGCUACCUAUCUACAAAUUCCUGAAAAUCCUGGGUAUAUCUUCAUAAAUUGCAAGGCGCCAAGAGCCAUUUUGGAUUGCUUAUCACUUUAUGUGGGCUCCUUCGGUGUCGACUGGUUAUGUUGUGGUUGGCUCUUGGAAGGCACUAACCUGCAGCCUUGCCAAACCAAAAUAUUACUUGCUUAACUGGUGGCCCACUUUUGAACCUUUGUAUCAUAAUCUCAAGGGAACCUGAGAUCCCUAUUGCUGCGACCAGGAAAAAUCUCAUGAAGCCUGGUUAAUUUCGUAGUUUGAAAAAUUAGAAGAUGAUUUGGAGUGGACUUCUCCCAUUUUAAAAACUUAAAUGUUGUUUCAGAUCUUGCUGCCCCUUCUAUAGAAGGAAUGAAUAUAUCUUCAUGGAUUACAACUCUGGGUGGUCUGCAUGAUGUUAGUAGUUAAUGUUCACUUCUCCUAUUUGUCAGUAUCUUGUGGUUGGCUCUCGGAAGGCAGUAACUGCAACCGUACCAAACCAAUGUAUUAUUUGCUCUACUUCCAGGCUGUUGCUUGGAAAAAUUUCUGGAAGCCUAGUUAUUUCUUACUUUGGAAGAUGAAUUGGGCUGGACUCCUCCCAAAUGUGCUUUUUUAAAAUCUUUCGUAUCAUUUCAGAUUUUUGUCACCCCCUCUGUAGUACUCCUGAAGGUGUUGAAAUAUAUCUUCAGGGGCUUCGUUUUUUGCAGGAUGCAAUGCUGGCCCUUGUGGGGGUACCUUGCACCAUAGUUGUUCCUUCAAGGGUAGCAUCCUCGAAGCUAUAUCUGUACGGAAGUUAUACUCUGCAUGAUCUGCGUUGUUCCUUCAAGGGUAGCAUCCUUGAAGCUAGAUCUGUAUGGAAGUUAUACUCUGCAUGAUCUGCGUUUUUUAAGGGAAGGUUUCUCUCUUGUAAAGUAUUUUGGGACUCUAAAUAUGUAUUAGGGAUAAUAUCUAAUAUACCCUUCAAAACUUCAAAAAUAUCUAAUAUACCCCUAGUUGACCAAAAUGGUCUUAUUGAUUUUCAAAAAUCCCUUCAAAAAUUCCCAAACCCCUAGGGAUUACUAAUGUAAAUUGGGGUUUUGAAGGGUAUUUGGGUAAGUUCAGGGUAAAUUCGAAAAUUUUGAAUAGUAGUCAUGGCUAAAUAAGCAAAAGACCCGUAUUAGGUUGCAUUUCCUUGGUUUUUAUUUUUGCUUAGUGAUCUGUUCUUAUAUUACAACCCUGGUUUAUCAAUACCUGAUUGCUGAGUUAAAUAAAUGAAUCUCCUUUGUUCAGAGAAAAAAAGAAUCUAAGACUUUGUCCAUCCUAGAGGUUCGGUUUAGAUCUUUUGUGCUAACUUAAAGAGCUUCAGUAAGUUGUUUUCUUGCUGCUAACAGGAGCUGGGCAUCAAGGCAUUAAGAGCCAAAAUUAGACUCUUCCUGGUCCCGGUGCCCUGUGGAAUUGCAAAGGUCAACAAGUUCUCUAAGAAGCACUAGAAAGCGUCAACAAGUUCUUCGCCCCAUUGUCCUGGGGACAUGCUGGUGUGGCUAUGUUGAACUGGUAACAAAUGCAGCAAUCUGCCUUAUAUACAGGUGGAGAAAAUGCUGCUUCAGACAUUGCUUGCUUUUCUGACAGUUUUGACUGGUGGAUCAUGAAGUUUUUUAUAAAACUGCGAUGAGGAUGGGAGUCAAAAAAAAAAAAAAGCAAGGUUGUUCUGACCUAGAGGCUCAGUUUGGAUCACUGCAUCGUGCUAAAGGUGCCAGCUUCAAACAAUGACUUCGCGAGGCAUAACUGAACCCUUCUUGGCCCCAUUGCACUGGGAACUUGCAAGUUUGCGUCAACAAGUUAUUUGAGAAGCACAAUGAUGUGGCAACAAUUUCUCGGCCCCACUGCCCUGGGGACUUGCUGGUAUGGCUAUGUUGAACUGGUAACAAGAUUCAAUAAUUUGACCCAUGGAGGUAGAGGUAAUGUUGCUCCCUACAUUUUUCUGCUUUGUUGGUGAUGGUUUUGACUGACGGAUGGAAUACUUGUAAAGUUUUGCUAAUUUAUUAGUUUUUCUACAUUGGAAAGUAAUUUUAUUCCUAUCUCACACUUUCUCAAAACAGCUGUCAGGAUUAUUAUUAUUUCAAUCUGAAUUUAGAUCAAUUGUUGCAGCUCAGGAGAGUGGCAUUUCUUGCGGCUUAGUAAGAUGGUGCUUUUCGCAGGCCAGAUUUAUUAAUAUGUUGUGUCUUAAGAUUAAUCAGAAGAUUGCCUGGACUUGAAUAAUUCCAUGCUAGGUAAAAAGAAUAAAUUAUUUUUAUUACAGACUAUUUACCUCUGUUAACAGGUUUUGUAAAAUUUAAUUUCUUUACUAUAGCUAUUAACAUUUAAUUUCUUUACUAUAGCUUAUUCAUUUUUUUUUUCCUUUCGCAUGUUAAAAGUUUCUUAUCAAAACCAUGCUUUUUUCCUAGCUCUUCUUGCUAAAAUCCAGUCCACUUAUCUCUUUUCUAUUUCCUCCCAUCCCAAAUUCAACAGUUUUUUACUAGCCAAAUGUUGGAGAGUUUCAACAAAUUUCUUCCACUUCUAAUGCUCCUCCUGCCUUUUCUCAUUUCCAUUCAUUGAAAUCCUUAUUUUAAGACAUUUUUUCUCCUUCCACCUAUCACCUUGUUCAGACCAUAUAUCCAUCCACAUGAUACAGAGUAACAGAAGGCUAAUAUGACAUUUUUUUUUAUUGAAACAUUUGUACAGAGGACAUGGAUUAUUAGAAGAUUCAAUAAUAUAUAUCACAAUUCAAUGCAAAAAAUUGUUCUCUCAUAUACAUUCUAAACUAUUUCAUUAUUCUUUGAGAAAUUAAUCUUUUUUAAUAUUAUUUGAAACAUUUUAGGCUAUUCUGUCAUUAUUUGAAACAUUUUAGGCUAUUCUGUAGAUUUGUAUAAGUUAUUUGAAUAGAGAAGUAAAACCCUAAUUCAAUCUAGCUAGGAAUCAAGAAAGGAUGGAUAAAAUUAACAAUUUUUGUCGCUAGAUUUGGUUUCUGGUAAUUACAUGCACGUUUUACAUGUUUAUAAGGGUUUUACAUGUUUAUAAGGGAUUGAUAAGAUUAACACUUUUCCCCUUACAUGUUUAUAUUACUGAAACUUUUCCAAAUAAGUCAUAUGGUUUAUCCUUAUUUAAGAAUUCUAUUCAUGACUGGUGCCAGAUUUCUUGUUUCAGUGUAUCUUGAGUUUUCCAGUUAGAUAUAUGCUCCUGUGUGUCUGUUGCAGCAACUAUGUAAAAUUUAUGUACAAUUUGUUCAUAUAGUUUAGGGUGACCUCCUAGUACGUGUUGCAGAAGGUUCCUGUGGGCAAUCAGCCGUACAUGUCUUGCCUGCUUGCACCGGUAACACCUGCCAUGCCGGCGAGGGCACGUGGACGCAAAGUGUGGAUCACCACAGAAUACGCAUGGUCUGUACUCGGCAGUUAACAUUAUGUUAUCUUAAAAUAAACUACUAUAGAAGCGACUUUACUAAUAAUUGGGUGAAACAUCCUUUUUGACUUAAAUAGUAACAAUCUUGGUGUUUGGCCCAUGCUAUAAGCUCAUCAUGUUACUUCCCAAUCAAUCGUAGAGUGCAGAUUCAAGCUUGUGGCUUGCAUUGUGCCAGUGUGCAUGUGCAUACAUGGAAAUGACAAUUACAAAAGGUAUUGAUGAUUUAGAUUUCCCACUUAGGGUCUGUUUGGUUCACCGUAAAACUAUAAAGAAUAAUUUUCGGUGGGAAAAAAAAAUUUACGCUCUUUAACGUUUGGUUUAUAGAAAAAGAAAAAUAGUUUUUCAGACAUGCUUGUUUGUUGAAAGAAAACGAUUGAAUG